rnacentral:rRNA from 1 species
GCAAGGAAUUUUGCGCAAUGGGCGAAAGCCUGACGCAGCGACGCCGCGUGGGGGAUGAAGGCCCUCGGGUUGUAAACCCCUUUUCCCAGGGAAGAAUAAUGACGGUACCUGGGGAAUAAGUCUUGGCUAACUACGUGCCAGCAGCCGCGGUAAUACGUAGAAGGCAAACGUUGUUCGGAUUUACUGGGCGUAAAGCGGGUGCAGACGGCGCCUUAAGUCGGAUGUGAAAUCUCCCGACUCAAUCGGGAGAGGUCGUUCGAUACUGGGGAGCUUGAGGGCAGCAGGGGAAGGCGGAAUUCCCGGUGUAGCGGUGAUAUGCGUAGAUAUCGGGAGGAACACUAGUGGCGAAGGCGGCCUUCUGGGCUGAUCCUGACGUUCAAACCCGAAAGCGUGGGGAGCGAAACGGAUUAGAUACCCCUGUAGUCC